ACAAAGGAUCUGCCUAAAAGUUUGAGGUAAACAAAAAACCGCACAAUGGCUAAAGAUUUAAAACAACUGCAAUCAAGGUGAACAAUUGGCCGGCCAUGUCAAUAGCUUUGCCCAAAUCGCCGUCGGCUUUUGACUCGCUUUCACACAUCCUUUGUUCUAUAAUCCAAGCUAAAGUUUCUAAUUAGCUACUUUGCUUCCAUAUAAUGUUAACUUAGGUAGUUAAUCUUAUGAAAUUGUUAACAGAACUGCAAUUUAUUCAUUUGUUCUGUUUAAAGUUUAAUCGUUUGUACAACUACUUGGAAACUGACGGAAUACACCAAACAAAAGAUACCAUAAUUUCAUUAUCGGAAUGGAGUCCCACUCAAAGAUGAGAGGUUUGAAUUUUGAAAUAUGUCGAACGUGUUAAUGAUUGACGAGGGCCAUAAAUGAUACAAGUAGAAGUCGUUCUUGUGGACUUCAGGCAAGUGGGGUCUAAGGGGGUGUAGAGCGGAGAAAUUGUGACAGUCUUGAAACUGAAUCAAAAUGGAUAAAAUCAACCUGACGGAACUCGGGAAAAAGAAGGUCAUCGAAGUGAAAGGAUGGCAGUUCAACUACCGAGAGAUUGUCAUCUUUGUUUGCCUAUGUGUCAGUUUAAUCGCCACUCUUGCUUUGACGAUUGUCGUCGCGACCAAGGGAAGUUCCGGGAAUAUGACGGGUGGCACAGACGGACAAACUGGCACUGUCCCACCCAUGGCUGAUGAUGUAUGCAUGACUCCGCCAUGUCUCGAAUCAGCGUCAUAUCAAUUACUGGACAUGAACAGAAGCGCUCAUCCAUGCAAUGAUUUCUACAAUUUUGCAUGUGGACGCUGGCCGAUGCUUAGUCCUCUUAACCCUGACGAAUCUGAAGUGACGCCAUUUACCCGCAUGAAUGGCGACAACCAGGAGAAACUCCGGAGGAUCCUUGAAUCUACCGACGGCCAUGAUCCAAACUGGGCAACUGGUAACAAAGUAAAGGCAAUAUUCGGUACAUGUCUCAAUGAAUAUGACAAGGGAUUAGAAGGUGGAAACGAUCUGCUUGACGUUAUUAGAGACUGCGGCGGCUGGGACGUGACGGGAGAUUGGGACGCACAGUCCUCGAAUUUCCUCUAUGCGUUCGAAAAAGUCCACAUUGAUUAUUGGACCGACGCACUCUUCCAGUUCAGAGUGGGCACUGACUGGUAUGACACUACAAAGCGUAUUAUUGAGGUUGAUCUCGGCGGUCUUGGCAUGUCCUACUGGCAUUACACCAACCCAGACUCUGAAAGGAUAAGGACCGCUUACAUGACGU
rnacentral:misc_RNA from 1 species